rnacentral:rRNA from 1 species
GUCCUUUUGAUUUUUAUUUAAGGUUUAACCUGCUCAAUGAUUUAUUAAAUAGCCGCGGUAUUUUAACCGUGCAAAGGUAGCAUAAUCAUUUGUCUUUUAAUUGAAGGCUUGAAUGAAUGGUUGGACGAAAAGUAAGCUUUCUUUUUUUUAUUAUAAUGAAUUUAAUUUUUUAGUUAAAAAGCUAAAAUUUUUUUAUGGGACGAGAAGACCCUAUAGAACUUUAUUAAUAAAAGUGUCGUAAAGUUUUUGUUUAUUUAAUUUUAUUAUAUUUAUAUUAAUUAUAUUGGGGUGAUAGGAAAAUUUAAUUAACUUUUCUUUAUUUAUUUUCACUAAUUAGUGUUACUAAUUGAUCCAAAAAUUUUGAUUAAAAGUUUAAGUUACCUUAGGGAUAACAGCGUUAUUUAAUUGGAGAGUUCAUAUCGAUAAUUAAGUUUGCGA